CAGCUGGCAACCUUUGGCAGAUUUUGUUGCUGCAAGGUUUUGCGAAACGAUCCGUUUUGCAUUUUUGUUGGUGUUGCUGCCCGACCGGGUUUGCUUGCAGGUAAGUGUUUGUUGAUUAAUUUAAUUUUUUGUUUGUUUUCAGGUACUGGUGAUUUGGCUUUGGCCAGUUUUGUUGGCCGCAUGUUGGUAUUUGGUACGUCUAGUGUAUAAAUAGGGGUUGCUGCUGUAGGCGAGUAAUUUACAGGUGCAGGCGCAUUAGUUGG